UAGGAGGACGACCCAAUCAGAACAAUCAGGAGGAAUCUGCUGAGGGAAUUUAUGUGUCAAAGAUUUUGGAAAAUGGACCUGCAGACAAAGCAGAAGGCCUGCAAAUCCAUGACAAGAUUAUUGAGCAUUCUUUUUCCAUAUUCUCCUAGUUUGAUUCCAAAUGCCAGUUGUGAUUCAUCCUGUUCACAAACUGCAUCUUCGAACCCAGAUCUAGGCUUACCAGCAUUUGGUGUUGUGAUUAAUGAAGAUUCAUGAGGGGUGACACAAUCAGCUGGGAUGCAGGUCAGGCGAAGAUGAAGAAGAGGGGGAUCUGCUCUGUCUUUUUUAAUUGCGUUGGAAACAAAUU
rnacentral:lncRNA from 1 species